AGCCGCGGUAAUUCCAGCUCCAAUAGCGUAUAUUAAAGUUGCUGCAGUUAAAAAGCUCGUAGUUGAAUUUCGGGACCAUCAUGUCGGUCGUGCCUCGGUACGUACUGGCAUUGUUGGUUUCUCCCUUCUGACGAACCAUGAUGUCAUUUAUUUGGUGUUGUGGGAAAUCAGGACUGUUACUUUGAAAAAAUUAGAGUGUUUAAAGCAGGCUCACGCUUGAAUACAUUAGCAUGGAAUAAUGAAAUAGGACGUUUGAUUCUAUUUUGUUGGUUUCUAGGAUCGACGUAAUGAUUAAUAGGGAUAGUUGGGGGCAUUAGUAUUCAAUUGUCAGAGGUGAAAUUCUUGGAUUUAUUGAAGACUAACUACUGCGAAAGCAUUUGCCAAGGAUGUUUUCAUUAAUCAAGAACGAAAGUUAAGGGAUCGAAGACGAUCAGAUACCGUCGUAGUCUUAACCAUAAACUAUGCCGACUAGGGAUCGGAUGAUGUUAAUUUUUUAAUGACUCAUUCGGCGCCUUACA
rnacentral:misc_RNA from 1 species